GAAGUGGAAGGGUGAAGGGUGAAGAGUGAAGGAGACCGGAAAGGUAAGGGGGUGGAAGGUGAGAGGUGAAGGAGACCGGAAGUAAAGGGGGUGAAAGGUGUACGAAGACAGGAAGUGUCAGGGGGUGAAGAGUGAAAAAUGUAGAAGAGCCAAACUGUCACGGGUUAUCCUCAGUUGCAAACACCCAGAGUGGAAAAAGCUAGAAAUAUAAGCCUGUUCUUUGGUGAUAGGGAGAAAGGGAGACCCCGAGGAGUCGACUGGAUGUGCCGUGUGCGGCGGCCGGGCCUACUCGCCACCCUCGGGAGGGCCCCCAGCGAGCGUGGAGGACGGAACCCCCGCAAUCACCGCUCAGGUGGUGGAAAACGGGGCCCCGGAAGCUUGAGGAAGCUCGUUGCAGCCCAGCCCCCCGGGGAGACACUGAGUCCAUCAGAAUUCCCCUCUGCCACCCUCGACUGGUCAUCGGUGGCCCGUUGGGCCACGGGGCCCCCCUGCAACCGUAAGGACGCAGGGAGAGGUGGGCGAGUGCGGAGGGCCUGGCUCCCCCGGUGCUCCUCCGAGCCCACCAGCAGGACUUUCUCUUCCCCCACCCAAGGGGGCCCACUGCGCUUUUCGUAGAUAAGGAAAACCGAGGCACGGGGAGGUGGGUUCGUUUCCUGCGGCUGCCGUCACAUGUCACCACACACUUAGCAGUUUAGAAGCACAGAGACGUGUUCUCUCUCCGAGGCUGACAUGGCAGGGCCGUGCUCCCGCCGGAGGCUCCAGGGGCGAGGCUCCUCCGUGCCUCUUGUAGCUUCUGGCGGCUGCCGGCUCUCCUUGGCUCGUGGUCACGGUCACUCCAGUCUGCAAGGCCGGCAUCUACACGUCCCUCUCAGCUCCACCGUCGUGGCGCCUUCUGCCCUGGGUGUGCGUCAGGUCCCCCCCCCCCCCCCCCCCCCGCCUCUCUCUUCUGAGGACAUUUGUGAUUACAUUUGGGGCCACCAGAUAUAACCCGGAACAGGCUCUCCAUUGUCAGCAUCCUUAAUUUAGUCCCAACAGCAAAGGCCCUUUUCCAAAUAAGGUAACAUUUACAGUUCGCACUCGUUAGGACCUGGUGUCUUUGGGAGCCUCUGUCAGUCCCCGAUGGGGAGUCCGUAACUUGCUCAAUGUCACACAGCGGAUUAAGUGGUGAAGCUGAUAGCUAAACCCCAGUCUGCCAGCCAGACUGAAAACCCCCUGCUCUUAAUACAUUCUUAUUCCCUUGUGCUCCGGAAACUUCUUUGGUUUCUUCUUUUUCAAUGUUUAUUUGUUUUUGAGAGAGAGAGAGUAUGCGUGCAUGCUAGUGGGGGCAGGGCAGAGAGUGAGGGGACAGAGGAUCUGAAGCGGGCUCCUUUGCUGACAGCAGCUAGCCCCACGGCAGUGGGGGGAGGGGGGGCUCGAACUCAUGACCUCAGGAGCCGUGAGAUCGUGACCUGAGCCGAAGUUGGAUGCUCAACCGACUGAGCCACCCAGGCGCCCCGUGCUCCAGAAGUUUCUAUUCAGAGGCCACCUUCAGAACAAUGUGUUCCCUCCUCAGCCCUGGUCGCCGACCGGUCACGUGGGUUGAGGGAUACCGUCAAAGCUUGCCUGCCAUAAGGCAUUUCCUCUCCUGGCCUUUCCCAGCCCAAGUCCGUAACCCUGCUGAGAGCUCAGGGUACUCGCAGGGACAACCUGUGGAGCAGUGGAGGCCGUCAUCCCGUUCAUUCACUCAUUCCUUCGCGCCACAGAACCAGAAAGGGGGAGCCACGUAAAAUCAAGCGCUGAAUUAAUGAAACUCACGUUGAUCGUCAGCUGCUGUUACUGUUAGCAAAAGAGAUAACCGGUGUGUUAUCUCCUGAUGGAAGAACACAGCAGGGCCUCCCCGUGGUGCAACCAGCAAGAUCCGGGCUGGGAGGGGCGCCUGGGGGGCCCAGUCGGGUAAGCAUCGAACCUCGGGCUCAGGUCAGGAUCUCAUGAGCCCCGCGCCGGGCUCUGUGCCGACAGCUCGGAGCCCGGAGCCUGCUUCGGAUUCCGUGUCUCCCUCGCUCUCUGCCCCUCCCCCACUCAUGCUCUGCCUCUUUUCUCUCUCAAAAAUAAACAUGAAAAAACUGAAAAAAAAAAAAAAAAAGAGAGAGAGAGAGAGAGAGAGAAAGACCCAGGCUGGGAGACACCCUACAGGGCAAAUGACCCAGUUCCUUCGCAGGUGCAUGUGCUCGUGCAUGCACACACACAAACACACAUACCCAGAGUCAAGAAACCUACGGGGUAAAAGAAGCCUGACAGACGUACCCAGCGAUUUCAGCACGUGAACUUAUUUGAAUCCUGAUUCCGGGGCAUCUGGGUGGCUCGGUCGAUGAAGCGUCCAGCUUUGGCUCAGCUCAUGAUCUCACGCUUCAUGGGUUCGAGCCCCGUGUCUCAGGCUCUCUGCUCUCAGCCCAGAACCUGCUCCAUAUCCUCUGUCCCCCUCUCUGCCCCUCCCCUGCUGGCUCUCUCUCUCUCUCUCUCUC